UGGUUGGUGCUCCUGCGCCGGAGGAGUUCUGCGUCUCGGGGUGGUGACUGGGUCCAGAAUGGCUUCGGAUUCGGGGAACCAGGGGACCCUCUGCACGGUGUCCCGGAUGUGGAGGUGCACUUGGAGGACCAGAUGGUCUUGGUACACACCACUCUGCCCAGCCAGGAGGUGCAGGCUCUCCUGGAAGGCACGGGGCGGCAGGCGGUACUCAAGGGCAUGGGCAGCGGCCAGUUGCGUGAGUGACCACUGUGGCCUUGGCCCCUCUGGGAGGGAGGUGGCUCAGAGCUGGUACAAAUCUAAUCAUAGGAUUCUCGGGCUCUGGGUUGGAGUGGCUUUGAGGAAGGUGUGAAAAUUAUGUGAGACUCCCUGCCCUUCCCGAGCUGCUGAAGAGGUGUGCUGGGUGAGGUGGCAAGCCAGCCCAAGUGUCUAAUACCUUGCAGAAAAUCUGGGGGCAGCAGUGGCCAUCCUGGGGGGGUCUGGCACCGUGCAGGGGGUGGUGCGCUUCCUGCAGCUGACCCCUGAGCGCUGCCUCAUCGAGGGAACUAUUGAUGGCCUGGAGCCUGGGCUGCAUGGACUCCACGUCCAUCAGUACG
rnacentral:sRNA from 1 species